AGNCCACGAUGCAUAGCCGACCUGAGAGGGUGAUCGGCCACACUGGGACUGAGACNCGGCCCAGACUCCUACGGGAGGCAGCAGUAGGGAAUCUUCCGCAAUGGACGAAAGUCUGACGGAGCAACGCCGCGUGAGUGAUGAAGGCUUUCGGGUCGUAAAACUCUGUUGUUAGGGAAGAACAAGUACAAGAGUAACUGCUUGUACCUUGACGGUACCUAACCAGAAAGCCACGGCUAACUACGUGCCAGCAGCCGCGGUAAUACGUAGGUGGCAAGCGUUAUCCGGAAUUAUUGGGCGUAAAGCGCGCGCAGGCGGUUUCUUAAGUCUGAUGUGAAAGCCCACGGCUCAACCGUGGAGGGUCAUUGGAAACUGGGGAACUUGAGUGCAGAAGAGAAAAGCGGAAUUCCACGUGUAGCGGUGAAAUGCGUAGAGAUGUGGAGGAACNCCAGUGGCGAAGGCGGCUUUUUGGUCUGUAACUGACGCUGAGGCGCGAAAGCGUGGGGAGCAAACAGGAUUAGAUACCCUGGUAGUCCACGCCGUAAACGAUGAGUGCUAAGUGUUAGAGGGUUUCCGCCCUUUAGUGCUGCAGCUAACGCAUU
rnacentral:rRNA from 1 species